rnacentral:rRNA from 1 species
CCUACGGGUGGCAGCAGUAGGGAAUCUUCCACAAUGGGCGAAAGCCUGAUGGAGCAACGCCGCGUGGGUGAAGAAGGUCUUCGGAUCGUAAAACCCUGUUGUUAGAGAAGAAAGUGCGUGAGAGUAACUGUUCACGUUUCGACGGUAUCUAACCAGAAAGCCACGGCUAACUACGUGCCAGCAGCCGCGGUAAUACGUAGGUGGCAAGCGUUAUCCGGAUUUAUUGGGCGUAAAGGGAACGCAGGCGGUCUUUUAAGUCUGAUGUGAAAGCCUUCGGCUUAACCGGAGUAGUGCAUGGGAAACUGGGAGAUUUGAGGGCAGAAGAGGAGAGGGAACCCCAAUGUGUAGCGGGAAAAUGCGGAGAUAUAUGGAAGAACACCAGUGGCGAAAGCGGCUCUCUGGUCUGUACCUGACGCUGAGGUUCGAACGCGUGGGUAGAAAACAGGAUUAGAUCCCCCUGUAGUC